GAGCGCACCACUGCACUCCAGCCUGGGCAACAGAGCGAGAUCCUGUCUCAAAAAAAAAAUUAAUUAAUCUAACAAAUAUUUAUUUAGUUUUUACUAUGUGCCUAAUGAGUGAUGAAAAAAUAAAUGAUGAGAAAACCCUGAUAUGGUCUCUACCCACAUUAAACCUCACUUUAGUGGAGGACAGAAAUUAAUCCAAGAAUUAUCUAAACGUGAUAAAAGAUGGUGCUCUGAGGAAUAAUGAGAGAGAAUGGAUCAAGUUAGGGAAGCCCUAGAAGGCUUUUGAGCAAAAGUAAGCAGUAAGCAAAGAGGGCCUGUGAGUCUGAGGCGCACAGAGCGAGGAAGAGCACAUUGCAAGAUGAGGCUGCCAAGGUCAGCAGCCACACCAUGGAGGGCCUUGCAGGGAGGCUGACUAUUCAAUUUGGCUUACUCCUGUUGACUUGGUGUAAUCCCUUCUCUCACAGUGUCCCAGUUUGGAUGAUAAAUUAUGUGAGGCCAUGUAAAAACAUUUAUCUUUAACGAAAACACUAUGAGAAGUCAUAUAUAAAAAUUUUAAGAUGGUGUGUGCGUGUGAAAGAGAGAGACACAGAAAUAGCUGUAUUAAAACAUGAAUUCAUACACAGUAGUCCCCUGGUAUCUGUGGGGUACACAUUCCAAGACCCCCAUAAAUGUGUGAAACCACAGGUAGUACUGAACCCCCUAUGUACUAUGUUUUCUCUUAUACAUACAUAGCUAUGAUAAAGUUUAAUUUAGAAAUUAGGCCCAGUAAGAAAUUAAAAACACUAAGUAACAAUAAAAUAGAAUAAUUAUAGUAAUAUACUAUAAUAAAGAUUAUGUGAAUGUGGUCUCUCUCUCUCUCAAAAUACCUCAUUAUACUGUACUGUUGGUAAGUGAAAGUGAGGAAAGUGAAACCAUAGAUAAGGUGGGACUGCUGUAUGAAGGUAAAUAUACAACUGCAUCUGCAAAGUUUGAAACACACUUCAUAGUUGGUCUC
rnacentral:lncRNA from 1 species